AUUGAACGCUGGCGGCAGGCCUAACACAUGCAAGUCGAGCGGAUGAAGGGAGCUUGCUCCUGGAUUCAGCGGAGGACGGGUGAGUUAUGCCUAGGAAUCUUCCUGCUAGUGUGGGAUAACGUCCGGAAACGGGCGCUAAUACCGCAUACGUCCUGAGGGAGAAAGUGGGGGAUCUUCGGACCUCACGCUAUCAGAUGAGCCUAGGUCGGUUUAGCUAGUUGGUGGGGUAAAGGCCUACCAAGGCGACGAUCCGUAACUGGUCUGAGAGGAUGAUCAGUCACACGGGAACUGAGACACGGUCCAGACUCCUACGGGAGGCAGCAGUGGGGAAUAUUGGACGAGGGGCGAAAGCCUGAUACAGCCAUGCCGCGUGUGUGAAGAAGGUCUUCGGAUUGGAAAGCACUUUAAGUUGGGAGGAAGGGAAGUAAGUUAAUACCUUGAUGUUUUGACGUUACCAACAGAAUAAGCACCGGCUAACUUCGUG
rnacentral:rRNA from 1 species